AUGGAAACACCAGCUCCUCCUGAAUGUAUGACCUGCUUGGGUGACGCAUACAGGGUUUCUUGGAUGGAAGACAGUGAAACUCACAAUCUACAGAAGGAAACCAUCAAGCAGCAGUACGAGGUGGUUAAAGCAAGAACGGCACCCCCAAAUGACUCCAAUAUCGGUUCUCAUGUCAUGGAGUAUGGUAACAAGACAUUCAAGGAUGACAAGCUUUUCCUUUAUCAAGGUUUCUAUCCUGUGAAGUCAAGCAUCACAAACAGGCCGCUGCUUUCGCCCAGCCUCAAGGGUGCAAUCAAUCAAAGAGAUGUUGAUAUUCUUUUCAUGCUUGUUCCAACGUUUGACACUUCGGCCACCUACUAUCAAAAGAGCACUACUAUGUACGAUCUACAGUAG
rnacentral:rRNA from 1 species